GAUGAACGCUAGCGACAGGCUUAACACAUGCAAGUCGAGGGGCAGCAAUUUGUAGCAAUACAAAGUUGGCGACCGGCGCACGGGUGAGUAACGCGUAUGCAACCUACCUACAACAGAAGAAUAAUCCGGCGAAAGUCGGUCUAAUACUUCAUAAAACAGGGACACCGCAUGGUGUUAUUUGUUAAAGAUUUAUCGGUUGUAGAUGGGCAUGCGUACCAUUAGGUAGUUGGUGAGGUAACGGCCCACCAAGCCUACGAUGGUUAGGGGUUCUGAGAGGAAAGUCCCCCACACUGGUACUGAGACACGGACCAGACUCCUACGGGAGGCAGCAGUGAGGAAUAUUGGUCAAUGGGCGAGAGCCUGAACCAGCCAAGUCGCGUGAAGGAUGACGGCCCUAUGGGUUGUAAACUUCUUUUGCAGGGGAAUAAAGAUAUUCACGUGUGGGUAGUUGUAU
rnacentral:rRNA from 2 species